rnacentral:tRNA from 1 species
CCGGGAGUUCCGAAAGUACUGCACUCAGCUUCCCAAGCUGAAUGUCGUCGGUUCGAUCCCGAUCGCCCGCUCCA